rnacentral:piRNA from 1 species
UGAGGCAAUGUGAGACCUUCACACGGGGA